GGCAACGCCCUUUCAGCUCAGUGGUCGAGCGCUGGCUUUGGAAGCCACAGGUCGGUGGUUCAAAUCCACCCGGGCGCCG
rnacentral:tRNA from 1 species